CAUAAAUGAAAUGGAUCAGAAAAUCCCGCUUGUGCUGAAGUUUGGGAUCCAAUGGUCACAGCUUUCCCCAAAGCCUCGCUGUCAGCUGAGCUAUGCCAGCCCAAAUGCAGGAUGCAGGGAGACAGGCAGGGAAACGGCCCCGGACGACAGGCAGCAGUGCUGUUCCUCCUGCUGCCAAGAGCUCAAUUGUUGCACAGAUACUGGAGAUCUAUUGCCUAUUCAGAAGGCAGAGUGAAUUAUUCUUUGGUAUUUGCAGAACUAUGGCAACAGCCAAAAAUGUAAGAGGUGUAUUCGGGAUGAGAUGACCAAGAGAGUGAACAAAGCAAGCAAGCUGUUACAAGUAAUCUCUGAAACUGCGUGGG
ensembl:lncRNA